rnacentral:rRNA from 1 species
GAUGAACGCUGGCGGCGUGCCUAAUACAUGCAAGUCGAGCGAACGGACGAGAAGCUUGCUUCUCUGAUGUUAGCGGCGGACGGGUGAGUAACACGUGGAUAACCUACCUAUAAGACUGGGAUAACUUCGGGAAACCGGAGCUAAUACCGGAUAAUAUUUUGAACCGCAUGGUUCAAAAGUGAAAGACGGUCUUGCUGUCACUUAUAGAUGGAUCCGCGCUGUAUUAGCUAGUUGGUAAGGUAACGGCUUACCAAGGCAACGAUUCAUAGCCGACCUGAGAGGGUGAUCGGCCACACUGGAACUGAGACACGGUCCAGACUCCUACGGGAGGCAGCAGUAGGGAAUCUGCCGCAAUGGGCGAAAGCCUGACGGAGCAACGCCGCGUGAGUGAUGAAGGUCUUCGGAUCGUAAAACUCUGUUAUUAGGGAAGAACAUAUGUGUAAGGAACUGUGCACAUCUUGACGGUACCUAAUCAGAAAGCCACGGCUAACUACGUG